CAAGAACUCCCAAAUAGGGAUAAUGAACUUGAUCCACCAGACCCCGAAGUUGAUAUUCCCCAACAAUUGGAAGAAAAAGCAAAAAAUACUUUGGAGACUAUUUAUAGGAUGUGUGGUAUUGUUGCUAUGAGUGUAGCUGUGGCUGUAGCAGGAUAUUCGAAAUAUUCGCGUUUUGUUUUUUCUUUAAUCCUUAUAAGCAUCGUAGCUUUCAAUUUAAUAUUAUUUUUCCGAUGUCGACACUUCCGGCCAUCCUUGGGAGCUUUAAUGCUUUUAUUUGCAACCAUUCUAUGUUUUGCUAUUCCUGUUUGCCUCCACAUCUUGAAAACUCUUAAAUCGGACGCUGAUGGAGUCUAUUACAAGGGUAUGAUUCAAAACGGCAUGGGGGUUCUAAUAUGUGCUUUUUGCAUUGGACUCUUCGUAGUAUCCUUUUGCGUUAUGAAUGAUGAAAGGGAUACUGACAGUUCCACUAGCGAGACUAGUGAUAAAAAUAGGGACUCAAUGUACGACUAAAAAAUAUCCCUCCCUAAAAUAUAAUUUCUAAAUUAAAAUAUUAGCUAAAAAUAUUUAUAAUUUCUAAAUCUUGAUAUGUUAUAAAAUGUAUACCAAUUAAAGAUCCCUGUGGAAUCUAUGAUA